rnacentral:rRNA from 1 species
GACGAACGCUGGCGGCGUGCUUAACACAUGCAAGUCGAACGUGUGGCGAACGGGUGAGUAACACGUGGGUGACCUGCCCUGCACUUAGGGAUAAGCCUGGGAAAGUGGGUAUAAUACCGGCUAGUGUGGGCUGGGCGCGCGGCAUAUCAGCUUGUGGGUGGGGUAAUGGCUACCAAGGCGCGGCGGGUCGCCGGCCGGAGAGGGUGGACGGCAAAUUGGGGACUGAGACACGCCCAAGAUUCUUAGGGGAGGCAGCAGUAGGGAACUUUCGGCAAGGGGGGAAAUCCUGACGGAGAAACGCGGCGUGGGUGAUGAAGGUCUUCGGAUCGUAAGCCUCUUUUAUUAGGGAGCCGGUACCUAAUCAGAAAGUCACGGCUAACUACGUGCCAGCAGCCGCGGUAAUAC